rnacentral:rRNA from 1 species
CCUACGGGAGGCAGCAGUGAGGAAUAUUGGUCAAUGGCCGGAAGGCUGAACCAGCCAAGCCGCGUGAAGGACGAAGGUGCCAAGCAUUGUAAACUUCUUUUGUCAAGGGACAAAAUCAGGCUCGAGAGCCUGACCGAGGGUACUUGAAGAAAAAGCAUCGGCUAACUCCUUGCCAGCAGCCGCGGUAAUACGGAGGAUGCGAGCGUUAUCCGGAUUUAUUGGGUUUAAAGGGUGCGUAGGCGGAUGGUUAAGUCAGCGGUAAAAGCCCGGGGCUCAACCCCGGCGAGCCGUUGAAACUGGCGGUCUUGAGAUGUCGAGAGGUAUGCGGAAUGCGCAGUGUAGCGGUGAAAUGCGUAGAUAUUGCGCAGAACUCCGAUUGCGAAGGCAGCAUACCGGCGGCGAUCUGACGCUGAGGCACGAAAGCGUGGGUAUCGAACAGGAUUAGAUACCCUUGUAGUC